rnacentral:rRNA from 1 species
AUACGGAGGAUCCGAGCGUUAUCCGGAUUUAUUGGGUUUAAAGGGUGCGCAGGCGGGAGAUUAAGUCGGCGGUGAAAUUUUGCAGCUCAACUGUAAAAGUGCCUUCGAAACUGGUUUCCUUGAGUGUAGAUGAAGUAGGCGGAAUUUGUGGUGUAGCGGUGAAAUGCAUAGAUAUCACGAGGAACUCCGAUUACGCAGGCAGCGUACUAAACUACUACUGACGCUCAGGCACGAAGGCGUGGGGAUCAAACAGGAUUAGAUACCCUGGUAGUCCACGCAGUAAACGAUGAUUACUAGCUGUUUGCGAUACAAUGUAAGCGGCUGAGCGAAAGCGUUAAGUAAUCCACCUGGGGAGUACGUUCGCAAGAAUGAAACUCAAAUGAAUUGACGGGG